GUGCGCUUGCGGAUCAUUUUCUUAUCGCGUUACCAAAUAUCAACAAGCAUUUCUGGCGCCGUUGCCGGGGAGAAAGACGGUUUGCUGAGAUAACUUUGAAUCUUGCUAUUAUCUUGUAUUAUACUUUUAUACUUUUAUUCUUUUAUGUAUUUAUUUUUAUCUUUAUGGAUAACUCAAAUUCCAUACCUAUUAUUGAAUUCUUUGCACCUUCGGAGACCAGCCAU
rnacentral:lncRNA from 1 species